rnacentral:lncRNA from 1 species
AUGAAGCAACGAUUCCUUACUCUGCUUUGUCUCUGAAGUAGGCUGCUCGGGACUUCAUAGCCGCGAGAAUCUGGGAUUCGAUAUCUUCUGUUGUCGAUGUUGCCUCAACGUCCUUCGAAUCGAUUUUGUCACCGGCGAUCUCCAUGUCCGUCGCCGUCGUCGAGUCGCCGCCAGACAUUUUGCUCUCAGAAGUAACGGAGAAGAAGAAGUUCAGUAGAAAAAAGUAGAUUUACCUCUCUUUAGUGUCAAAUCGAACAUUGUGGAUAAAUAAUAAAUAAAUAGUCAAAAUCGUGAUUCUGUUGGG